UAUCUUUGGUCAACAACUUUUUUUCUUUAUAUACAUAGAGAACAUUAGCUUUUCAUACAUUUCGUAAUUCAUAUAAUUUUGAUAAUACAAUAUCAUACCCUACAAAGGAAAUUUGAAUUAAAACAAAAGAGUCACUUAUAUAUUAUUUUUAUAAAUCUUACACCAUCAUUCGAUAAUGGUUCUCAUAGAAUAUAAAUUUUUAUCCUUGUUCAUCUUCAGAACAAGCUGAAUGCUAACUAUAAAUAAAGACCAAUGCCGACUACAAGAACACUGAUUCACAACAGUUCACUUAGUGAGCCUCCGUACAAAGAGCGAGGCAACUGGAAUCUUUAUGGCAACACCCUUUACAUAAGACUGUCCUCUUCUUGACUCUAAUUUUUGCAUAUCAACCUAAACAUAAAUCCAAUAAAGGCAUAAAUUAGAAGUUAAAAAAGAUUAAGUAACAAAAAUAGUUAGCAGGCAACUUCUAUAGAAAUUAUAUGGAAAAUGAUAUCACAUGGAACAUUAGAACCUGUGCAGCUUAAGAACUUCCAUCAUACAAACAAAGAAGAACAAUGAACUUACUUAUCAAAAAUAAAAAAACAAUAAGAAACUUCGAGUCUUCCAGAAACAUAAGCCACAAAUGUAAACAAGUGAUCCAUAAAGUAAGAAAAUGCAAAGGGUGUUUGAACCCACAUGCGUCUGUUCAGUUAAAAUAAAUUCAACACAAAAGAAAAAGUUCUCUUUGUCGUUUUCCUCUUCCUACUCCCUUUAACUAUAAGCAUUACAUUUUAGUUGUAGAGUUUAUAUGAUAUUCUGUUAAAAUUAUUUGCGUAGAUUGAUAUAUUUCACAAGUGAAACACAAGAAUUUUCUUGAUCUCAUUGAUAUUGUGAAGAGAUAACCUUUGACAAGGAUGACGACCCUUGAGUAUGCUCCUAGUGCAAGUCAUUUUGAGCACCUGCACGGUAAUCUUGUUAGUAGUGUAUUUCAGUGCUAAUAGUCAUGCUAGUAUGUUGAUUUAGUGAUAAGUAAUACAAACUACAUAUUUAUUUAUCCCAAUUGAAGGAGAUGAUCCUAUUGACCGGCCUGCAAAGUUUAGAACCACAAUCAACUCGAAUUCACAAACCAUAUUUGGAUAAUGAUCAUGCUACAAAAGUCAUAUUUCUCAUGGAAUUAUAAAUAGUACUAAUAUCCAUAUUCUUACUGAAAAGCAGAAUGUCAUCUCCUUGAGGGAUCCAACAUUGCAAGUCCUUCAUGAAUAAUGAGCUUAUGGUUAUCUAGUGCCACAGUUCCAAGGCUUUGUCCUCUCUAGUGGACAGAACAGAACAGUAAAAGAAUCAUAUUAGAAAUAAGUAAAAGACAAAAUUCACUACCAGAAUAACCAACAACUGAAAUUUAAUAGAAACUGCAAACACAAAGUGACAUAAAAAUAAAAAACAAAGCAGAUACUAAUAUUUUAUCCCCAAAUCGAUCAAUUUCAACACUCCACUACCACUAACAUAAGCAGAGAAAUAUUAAAUUCAUAAAUAAAUCCUACCUACCACUUCACAAACCAAUCAUCAACAACCACAACAAACUUCAAUACAUAAUAAUAAAAGAAAAGGUUACAACCAUUUUAAAGGCGAGAAAUUUAAUCCAGUUAACAUAAUAGAACGGAAAUCACAGGAGAGAAAAAAAUACGUACUCGCGCCUUAAUAAUCUUGAUUAGAAGUUUGAGAAUUAUCAGCAGUAUCUGUCAUGUUUAGAGUUCUAAAUCAAUCUAAGAACAAUCUAGGAAUAAUCAGUAGUAUCUGCUAAUUAAGCACCGACUCUGAAUUUGAUAAAUUGAUCCUAAUGCUAGAAAGGUAUAUGAAAAGAGUCCAAAAGAAGAUGGCAAAAAUUCCUAGAAGAUUGAUGCAAUUUCAUGAGAACCUUACCAAUUUUAUGAAUGCGAGACGACGGCAUCAGUUAUUUGGGUAUGAGAAAAGGGGGAGUUUUGUAGCGUUUUUGAGAUAAAAUAGUAGACGCCCCUAUACUUAAUAUAUUUUAAGUUUAAUAAUUAUAAAUGUAAG
rnacentral:lncRNA from 1 species